rnacentral:tRNA from 2 species
GCCUGGGUGGCUCAGUUGGUUGAGCGUCUGACUUCAGCUCAGGUCAUGAUCUCACAGCUCGUGGGUUCAAGCCCCACGUCAGGCU